rnacentral:rRNA from 1 species
UACGAGGGGGGCAAGCGUUGUUCGGAAUUAUUGGGCGUAAAGGGCGCGUAGGCGGUGCGGUAAGUCACCUGUGAAAACUCUGGGCUCAACUCAGAGCCUGCAGGCGAAACUGCCGUGCUUGAGUGUGGGAGAGGUGCGUGGAAUUCCCGGUGUAGCGGUGAAAUUCGUAGAUAUUCGCAAGAACACCAGUGGCGAAGGCGGCUCACUGGCCCGAUACUGACGCUGAGGCACGAAAGCGUGGGGAGCAAACAGG